rnacentral:rRNA from 1 species
UGGCCUAACACAUGCAAGUCGAACGAAGGCCCUAGCUUGCUAGGUCACCUUAGUGGCGGACGGGUGAGUAACGCGUGGGAACCUGCCCUGGAGUGGGGAACAACAGUUGGAAACGACUGCUAAUACCGCAUAAUCCCUGAGGGGGAAAGGCUUCGGCCGCUCCUGGAUGGUCCCGCGUUAGAUUAGCUAGUUGGUAGGGUAAUGGCCUACCAAGGCGACGAUCUAUAGCUGGUUUGAGAGGAUGAUCAGCCACACUGGGACUGAGACACGGCCCAGACUCCUACGGGAGGCAGCAGUGGGGAAUAUUGGACAAUGGGGGAAACCCUGAUCCAGCAAUGCCGCGUGAGUGAAGAAGGCCUCAGGGUUGUAAAGCUCUUUCAACUGUGAAGAUGAUGACGGUAGCAGUAGAAGAAGCCCCGGCUAACUCCGUGCCAGCAGCCGCGGUAAUACGGAGGGGGCUAGCGUUAUUCGGAAUUACUGGGCGUAAAGCGCACGUAGGCGGCGUAUCAAGUUAGAGGUGAAAGGCCUGGGCUCAACCCGGGAAUUGCCUUUAAGACUGAUAUGCUUGAGUUCGGAAGAGGGUAGUGGAAUUCCAAGUGU